GAUGAACGCUGGCGGCGUGCUUAACACAUGCAAGUCGAACGGAAAGGCUCCUGCUUGCAGGGGUACUCGAGUGGCGAACGGGUGAGUAACACGUGGGUGAUCUGCCCUGCACUUCGGGAUAAGCCUGGGAAACUGGGUCUAAUACCGGAUAGGACGAUGGUUUGGAUGCCAUUGUGGAAAGUUUUUUCGGUGUGGGAUGAGCUCGCGGCCUAUCAGCUUGUUGGUGGGGUAAUGGCCUACCAAGGCGUCGACGGGUAGCCGGCCUGAGAGGGUGUACGGCCACAUUGGGACUGAGAUACGGCCCAGACUCCUACGGGAGGCAGCAGUGGGGAAUAUUGCACAAUGGGCGCAAGCCUGAUGCAGCGACGCCGCGUGGGGGAUGACGGCCUUCGGGUUGGAAACUCCUUUCGCUAGGGACGAAGCGCAAGUGACGGUACCGGGAGAAGAAGCACCGGCGAACUACGU
rnacentral:rRNA from 1 species